ACGAAACUGGGCGUUAUGUGACCUUCAACUUUGUUAUCGUGGUUGUAUAUGUGCGGAAAAGCGUUUUCUGCGAGCCAGUAACGUCACUAGAUGUGGUCUUUCUAUCAGUGAGUUAAAUUAAGUAUUUUAAAAGAAAGUUAUAUUGUGAAACAACAAAACACAAACGGAAUAUCGUAAUGUGUGAGAACCUGAGAAAUUUACAGACGGAACGAAUUUUGUUUAAACAUUUUAAAAGUAUUAUUUUGAAAUUAAUCAUAAUUCAUGCACCGAGAAAUAACUGUCCGUCGCUGUAGCAAAGUAUUACAUUUCAUCAUGCACUCAAAUUCGGACUCGGAUAGUCAGGACAAUCGCAAGGACAAACAACCGAAAGAAGAAAUCAAGCAAAGAAAAGAAUGGAAAAAACUAAAUGAAGGGAUGGAAAAGUGCCAGAAGGAACCGUUUUGCACAUACAGUAAACUUCCUGGAGAUCAUAGUAAAGACUUCAAACAAAUGAUGUGUGCAUUUUACGCUUUAAAACUGAUUGCUCGUGACGAUGUUGAAGAUUUUGAAAUUGCUACGAACAAGAAGGAAAAUGGAAAUUUUGGCGAUAUGGAACUUACAGUUGCGUUCAAAAACGGAAAAAAAUGCACUUAUCUCUUUCACUUCGAAUGCAAAGAAAAUGAAGAACCUAUCACAAUCAACCAACUGACGUCAGAAAAACAACAAAGUGACUUCGACUUACAAAAAUACUUUAAUUCUAUGUCGUCUCUUAACAUCAGUGAGAACUCGGUUUGCAUUCUUUACACAAACUCUUCUACGUGCAUUGAACAAAGUACACAAAUAUCAGAAAAUAUUGAUCUUAAAAUAUGCGAUGAUCAUCUUGAAUAUGAAGAUCUAUUACUCACUGUCAAACAGACAAAAUCAUCGAGUAUUUAUCAAGUCGUACAAAAUUUACAAGAUAAAAAUCGAAUGUUUUAUUUUUUUACCGAACAAAGUAACUUUGAAAACACUAAAACAAAUCUGCAAAAAAUGUUACACGAGAUGUUAGAGUGUCCCAUUUACGACUCUUUCAUGCAUUUUGUGCAUCAAUCGUGGUCAAAAAGUUUCAUCUUACGUAAAGAUGAUGUCAUUGCGAAGUUAACUGAAUUGGAUGUUUCAUCGUACAUCCUAACUGUUAGUGACAUUAAACAAAAUGAAAAAACGAGGAACCUGACAGAAGCAAUAAUGAAUUUUUUCAUAACGAUUAUGGAUUAUUCCGAUGAAAAUAUUAUCGGAAAUAUAUGGCCGGAUGCAGACAUUACGGAUGAUGAGUUUGUAAAAACUAAAGAGAAGUUUGCGUUAGAGAAAACAGAACGCGUUAAAAUUUCAUGGUUUUUAAAUAAAAUUCCAUUGAUUUUAAAAGUAGAUGAUUCAAAUAAAACAACAAUCGGACUUGUAAUCAGAACAUUGAAUAAAUGUUCCGAAAAGAGAAGAAUCGUGUUGGUGGGAAAUGUGACAAAAGGUGAAUUCGAUGGAAUGGACGUUUUCCAGAAUUUAUCAGAUCUGAUAAUCAAAGCCGAAAUUGAUGAACUUUGCCAUAAUAUCUUACAUACUUUUAAUAUUUCUUUACAAGGAAGAGAACUAAUUUGUUUAGAACAACUCAUUGCCACUGAUAGAGAAAUCGCUGAACAUGUCAGAGUUCGCGAACUAUUGAAAAUGUCUCAGACAAACUAUAUAAUCGGAAACGAGAAACAAGAGUUAUCUAAAUUACACAUCCCAAGAAGCGUGUAUACUACAUUUGUGAAAACUCAGAAAAUUUUGAGUAUUUACGAAUCACAAAAAAACCAAACCGUGGUAGUUAUUAACUGCGACCCAACAUUUAAAGAUAGAUUUUUAACACGUAAAAACUAUUGUUCUGUAGAAAUUGCUGACUACUUUCGCAAAGAGUAUAGUGGAAAUGAUAAUGUUAUUAUAUUUUCAACAGAGCAUAGGUUAACCCAUGCUGAAUUUGUUCGCGUUUGUGAAAAAUCAAACAAAUCAAACGUGUAUUUGUUGCAAUCAUUUGAUGCCAAAUCUUGUGUCUUACUUUUGGAAAAAGGAAACAAACUACCAAGUGAUGUUUUAGAUGAAUCAAAAUGUUUACCAGAAAGGGAUAUUUUAAAAUAUCUCGACAACCCACUCAACGCAGUUUGCGCUUCACCCGGAAUGGGUAAAUCCACAUUAAUGAAAGGGCUUUCCAAUAAGUGUCCUUCACAUUAUUGGGCAAUUUAUAUCGAUCUGCGAAACUGUAAUUCAUUUUUAGCAAAAAAACCAGAUUCAACGGCAAUAUGCGAUUACUUUUUACGAGCUGAUGAAGCAAAGGAUGAAACAGAGAAACAAAUUAAGAAUAUUUUGCAGAGAAAUCAAAAGUUGUAUUUAUACCUUGAUGAAUUAGAUCAAGUGAACUGUAAUUACCUUAAUUGUGUCCUAGAUUUCAUAAAGGAGGCAUCGUCGAAUGGUGUCAAGGUAUGGAUUUCGUUAAGAGAGAAUUUACGUCAAACAGUAUCACACGCAUUAAAUGUGGUACCCCUGGAAAUACGGCAGUUAAGUCGAGAAGAACAAGAAGAAUACAUGUGUAACAGACUGAAAGAAAAAUAUGAAACAGAAGAAAUAACAAAUAUCUUAGACGCAGUAUUUGCUAGUGUAGACCUUAACAACAGUCAGCAGUUAUUAGAAAACCCAUUCCACUUACAACUAAUCGCAGAAAUGUUUCUCAACAAUGAUGACUUUUACAGAAAAUUCAAAGCACAAAACAUCUUCCUUUUGACGCAAAUGUAUGAGCUGUUUUUAUUUAGAAGUGUUUCAUCUAUUCUUAAAAGAGCAGCUGAUGAACAAGAAACGUAUCUGUCUGGAGAUAUUAAAAUAUUACUAAAACAAUACGAAGUUAUUGCCUUAAAAGCUUGCUUGGAUAAUAAAGACUUUGAGCGAUUACGCGUGGAUUUAAAAGAAUCACAGGGUUUUAUAAAUAAUUUAAGGAAAAAUGGUGACGCGUACGGAAUAAUCAAAGAAAUAAACGAAAAAGGUGAAGCUACAUUUGGUCAUCGGACGUAUGCGGAGUACUUUGCUUGUAUCUGGUUAAAAGAGAAUAAAGAGAAAGUGGUUUUAUUAAAGGAUGUAAUAUUUGCCGAAAAAUAUAAAAAUUUACGACUCAUGCUUGACAUAAUGUUGGCGGAAAACAAUCCGUUACAUUUAUCUAUCAUUUAUAAAAAUUUCAAACAAUUUGAGAAAUACAAACAUGAAAUAAACACGAAAGAUGAAGGUGGUCGAACACCGUGGCAACUUAUAUGUAUGCACGGAAUGAAAUACCCUGUUUCAUGUUUUCAAGAUAUGUUUCAUUUGGUAAGACUUAAUCGUGAACUUGAUUGCUACGUAUUUAUGGCAAAGACUGUUGUUCAAGAGCAGAAUGACAUAAUUACUAACAAUCAUGACGAUCUUUUCAAUUUCACUUGGUUAAAUUAUUGCCUUGAAGCAAAAUGUCUAUAUCCAAUUGAACUAAUUUUAGAACUAAAAUUGGUAAAGUUCAGCGAUAUAAAUAAAAAAGUUUAUGAAUAUUAUAUAGCAGACACUUUGGCAUAUUACUCAGCUCAGAUGGGUUAUCCUAACUUAUUUUCAGCCGCUAUGGCAGAAGAUUCAGGGUUGGCACGUCAUGAAUCUCUACAAAAUCUAAUGGAAGCGGCAGUUAUUGGACCCAAGGACAAAAACAAAAAUAGUUCUUUCAAGGCUGACACUUCAUUCGAAUCCUUAGAGGGCUAUAGACGUAUAAUUCAGUUAGUAUUGGAAAGUGGUUUAGAUGUAAAUGCACGGCUUGAACAUGGAUUGACAGCUUUCCAACUCUCAUGUCGACACGGUAAUUAUGAAAUAACGAAAAUGUUGUUAGAUUUUGGCAGUUCUGUCAACCUAGUGGACAUGAGAGAUAACACUGCAUUGCAAUGUGCAGUGGAAUUACAGAAAGUGAAUCUAGAUAUUAUAAAAUUGUUGACUGAGAAAGGCGUCGACGUAAAUGCACAAAACAAGUUUGGAAUGACAGCUUUACAACUUGCAUGUCAACAGGGUGUUUAUGAAAAUGCAAAAAUGUUGUUAGAUUUUGGGGCUUCAAUUAACAUUGCAGACAAGGACAACAAGAACCUGUUGCAUUAUGCAUCAUGGAAAGACAACAAAGACAUAAUAAAAAUAUUGAUUGAUAAAGGUAUCGACGUAAAUGCGCAAGACAAACUUGGAAAGACAGCUUUACAUUUUGCUUGUGAACAAACUAUUUAUGGGAAUGUUGAAAUGUUGUUAAGUGUCGGUGCCUCCAUUAACCUUGCGGACAUAGAAAACAGGAACGUGUUGCAUUCUGCAGCACUGUCGUGGAAAGACAAUCGCGACGUAAUGAAAUUAUUGCUUGAGAAAGGCAUCGACAUUAAUGCGCAAGAUAAAAAUGGAGCGACAGCUUUACAACUUGCUUGGACAAGAAGUGUUUGCGAAAAUGCAAAAACGUUGCUCGAUUUUGGUGCUUCAACAGACGUUUUAGACCACAACAAGCAGAACGUGUUACAUUACGCAUCAAAAUCGUGGAAUGCUGAUCCAGAUUUAAUCAAAGCAAUAAUUGACAAAGGCAUUGACGUAAAUGCGCAAGAUGGAAAUGGAACGACCCCUUUACAAGUUGCAUGUAAAAAUGGUAACUACGAAAUUACAGAAUUAUUGUUAAAUUUUGGCACUUCGAUUAACAUUGCGGACAAAAGAAACAAAAACGCGUUCCAUUAUGCAGCAGAAUCCUGGACACCCAAUCGAAGUAAAAUGAAGCUAUUGAUCGAGAACGGCAUCGAUGUAAACGCACAAACUGAAACUGGAACGACAGCUUUGCAACUUGCUUGUCAAAAUGGUGAUGCUGAAAUUGCGGAAAUGCUGGUUAAAUCCGGCGCUUCUGUUAACAUGUUGGACAAAAACAACGAGAACGCGUUGCAUUAUGCAUCAAAAUCGUGGGCACCGAAUCGAUUCCGAACGAAACUGUUGAUUGAGAAAAGCAAAGACGUGAUUGAUCAAAAUAAAAGUAAAGGAACGGUUGUCAAGUUUCCGUGUCGCAGUACUGAAUUCGAAAUGUCAGAACUGGUGUUAGAUCGUGGCAUUUCCAUUAGCAUUGUGGACAAAAACAAGUACGGGUUGCAUUCUGCAUUAGAAUUACGUGGAAACAACCAAAAUAUAAUAAAAUUGUUGACUCAGAAAGGCAUUGAUAUUAAUGCUCAAAAUCAAAAUGGAACAACGGCUUUACAACUUGCUUGUGCAAAACAUAGUCAUGAAAUUACAGAAAUGUUGUUAGAUUCCGGUGCGUCCGUUAACAUAGUGGACAAAGAUAACAAGAAUGCCCUACAUUAUGGAUUGGAAUCGUGGGAAGACAAUCGAGAUAUAAUAAAGUCACUAAUUAAAAAAGGUAUCGAUGUAAAUGCACUAAAUAAAAACGGAACGACUGCUUUACAACUUGCUUGUGAAAAUAGUGAUUACGAAAUUGCAGAAAUGUUGUUAGAUUUCGGUGCUUUUCUUACCAUUACGGAUAAAGAUAACAGGAAUUUAUUGGAUUAUGCAUCCGGAUCACGGAAAAUAACUCGCUAUAGAAUAAAAGUAGUGCUUCAGGAAGGCAGUGUUGAAGAUGCACAAGGUGUAGAUGAAACGACAGAUGCACAACUUACGUACCGAAAUGUUGAUAGUGAAAGUACAGAAGUGUUCUUAGAUUCUGGUAUUUCGGUCAGUAUUAUCAAUACAGACAAUAGGAACACGUUGCGUUAUAUUUCAGUAGCGCGAAAAACCAAUCAAGAUAUAAUAAAUUUAUUGACUGAAAGAGGCAGAGGCGUAUAUAUGCAAGAAGAAAACGGAGCAAGAGCCUUACAGUGCGUGGAUGAAAAUCCCGAAUGUAGUACAGAAAAUCACCAACAACAGUGACCGUAUUUCUUGGUGUAAAAAUAAAAUAUGUUGUAAAAAGUUUUCUUCAACGUGGAAACUAAUUCAGUUGUGUUUGAUAUGGACAGUCCACUUCACAUUUGGUAAAGCAAGUAGAUGAAUGUUCUCGUCCUUAGCAACAGUUGUCCCAGUUGAUGGAUUUAUUUAUCAAGUUGUAACCAUGGCCUAAUAGUAAUAAUAUAAUAAUUUAUAUUUACCUAUAAUAA